UCUCCGUUGGUGAACCAGCGGAGGGAUCAUUACAGGACUCGUCAGACUCCCGUAAACCACCGUGAACCUACCUAUUGUUGCCUCGGCGGGUGCUCGAGCUCGCUCGGCCCGCCGCUGGCCCCCUACACUGAAUCACUGCGUUGGCAUCUCAGAGUACACAAACGAAUCAAAACUUUCAACAACGGAUCUCUUGGCUCUGGCAUCGAUGAAGAACGCAGC
rnacentral:misc_RNA from 1 species